UACAGAGGUCUCAAGCGUUGUUCGGAUUCAUUGGGCGUAAAGGGUGCGUAGGUGGCGCGCUAAGUCAGGUGUGAAAUCUCGGAGCUUAACUCCGAAACUGCAUUUGAUACUGGCGUGCUUGAGGACUGGAGAGGAGACUGGAAUUCACGGUGUAGCAGUGAAAUGCGUAGAUAUCGUGAGGAAGACCAGUGGCGAAGGCGGGUCUCUGGACAGUUCCUGACACUGAGGCAGCGAAGGCCAGGGGAGCAAACGGGG
rnacentral:rRNA from 1 species